UACGUAGGGUGCGAGCGUUAAUCGGAAUUACUGGGCGUAAAGCGUGCGCAGGCGUGUUUGUAAGCCAGAUGUGAAAUCCCCGGGCUUAACCUGGGAAUGGCAUUUGGGACUGCAAGGCUUGAGUGCGGCAGAGGAGACUGGAAUUCCUGGUGUAGCAGUGAAAUGCGUAGAUAUCAGGAGGAACACCGAUGGCGAAGGCAGGUCUCUGGGCUGACACUGACGCUCAUGCACGAAAGCGUGGGGAGCAAACAGG
rnacentral:rRNA from 1 species